UCGCGCUCGCGGCCGGGGCCAGGCCGAGACCGGGGCGUCGCGGCACCAGGCCGGUCGCAGGCCGCGAAGGCCGCCCGGCCCCGGCCCCCGCACGCGGCCCUGUGGUGCCGCCGCGCCCGGCCGCCCCGCUCCCCCCCGCCCCCGCCAGCCCCUGCGGCGGCCGCUUUGGGCUGUGAGCGGUUCCCGGGGAGCCCCGGCGCGGUCCGGCUCCUCCGCGGCCCCUCCUCGGGCUCCCGGGGCGGCCGCGGUCCCGCAGCGCCCGUUACCGGCGCACCCAGAACCCCUUCAGGGACAGGGCUCCGGGCAGGGGAGCGGUUCCUUGCCUAGUUGCCUAAUUUGCAGCGCUCCCGGCAGGAAAUUUAGCCAAAAUGCUGGUUUAUCUCUUGCUCCCGAGACCUGCGUUUUCCGCUAAACGCGGUGAUCUCGGGCAGGGGGUUCAGCCCCCCCCGGCCCUUCAGCCCGGCUCGCCCUGCAAAGAGUUGACCGGCAGCGCCGGCCGGGGGGGUCGGGGGGAGCCAUUUUCUCCCUGUUACCGCUUCACCUUUUGUGCGAAUGCGUCUUGGCCCCGAGAGCCCAGAAAUAAAAAGGGUUUUUAGCAGCUUCUGAGAUUCUGGGGAGUCUCUGUCGUCCUGCCCCGAAGCCUCGGGAAGGGCGCGGGCCGGCUGGUCCCGGGAGCGCGGCAUCGCUGCGGAUGAGCGGUGGCCGUGUUUGGGCACCACUCCGGCAGCCGGUGCUGUGGUCCGGAGCCCUGUGCGCCAGCCGGGGCAGGAGCACGCUCCCCUCCCGGGAAUGCCCAGAUCCUGCUCUUAAAGAUCACCCUCUCCAGGCCAAGGUAAAAGCCGUGGAUGCACCGUGCCCGGCGGUUCUGCUUCCCUUGGCCCGUCACCGUGGCAGCUCGCGCCGGGGGACGUGUCCGGUGCGCGGGGCAGCUCGCUCGUGCUGUCCUAGCCUCCCUGCUCCCACCUAGAGCAGCGCUUGCGCUCCCCUCCUGUCCCCUCCCCGCUCAGGAGGACCUUUUUAGGCCUUGUUUAACCCGAGCGCUGCCUCUGGGUGCCCCAGCCGUGCGCGCUGCACCUGCCGAUGGCCCCUGGGUGCGUGUGACCGUGGGCAGCUUGAGAUUGCGGCCAGGAGCUGCAGCUCCGUGGCGCACAAAAUGGGGCUUUGGUUGACUGCUGCCCAUACAAAAUUGUUUUUCUGCCCUUCCCAUUUCCUGAGAUGCGCUUCAUUAUUGACCCGAGAGGGAAGACGUUGGGAAGCAGCCAGUUUGGUGGAGGCGUUGUUCUGCCGGCCAUGCCUUGCAGGCACCUCCCAGCUCAGACCCGGGCAGGGAAUCCAUCUUCCACCUUCCUGGUAGCCUCUCCUGUGCCUGCUGCUGCACUCGCUUCUCUGCAGAUCCCGCAGAGACCAGGCUCCUGCGUGGGCCCCCGCUCUUGCCAUCUGCUCCCGCAGCAGCGUGGUUUGCAGGUGCUGCUGGGGCGUGCUGUGCAGGGAGUGCCUGCGCUGCGCAACCGUAACGAGCAGCAGGCAGCAAGAACCGCUCGGCAGCUGGACUGCGGAGCCGUCCGGUCCCGCUCCACGGGGAUUUUGUACCGCUGUUGCUUUUCCGACGCAGGUAUCGCAUGAGAGUGUGAGUUAGCACAGUCUGACUGCUGGGUCCUGUCGCUCGCUCUUAGAUCAGUGCAGAGGUGGAGCCGUAAUGAUCGUGAUGGUGCUGGCGUACGUCCAGGGCAGCUCUGCUUACAGCAAUGUUUUUGGCGUUAGCAGCAUCUGCCUGCGGCCUGACCUACCUGCAGCGGUAGGCAGCACCUGCUGCUAGCACGGAGAAUUCCCACACCGGGCAGGGGCAAACUGGUCAGGAUCUGGCCGUUACUGGUGUGGUCUUUCCCAUUCCUCCUGGCAUCACCCUCCCCUUCAGGAGCUCAGUGUGGGUCCGGGUGCCGUGGUGGGCACGGCUCCCUCCUGGCACUGCCGGGAGAAGCAGAGGGCAGCUGCCCCGGAGCCCGGCUCCCCGCGCAGCCGGCAGUGCCAGGUCUCCGCAAGGAGCAGCGGGGCGGCAGAGCAGGUCUACGUGCUGCAGACCGGGGCAGCUCCCCGCAGGGCACUCGGGGGUGUUUUGCAUGGAGGGGGGGGGACUGGUUGCUGCCCCCUUGGGCUGGGGCUGCCGUGGGGCUCCUGCUCCCCCCGCGCAGGUGAGUGCAGACAGCAGAGCCGGGCGAGCAGCAGCCCGGGGCUUGGGGCGAGCAGCCCUGACAAGCCGUGUCUUUAAAACCCACGCCAACGCGAGCACGUGGCCAGCGCUGCAGCCUGCCCCUUGCCCUGCUGUGACGCCAGCGCUGCGCCCACGUCCUCGCCCUGCCGAGGAACCGGGGGCCCUGCGUUGCCUCUCACUCGCGCUGUGGCAGCACGGGCCGCUGUGAGCGUCCAGCACAGAGGGGAAGCCUGAGGCCGAGCUGUGGGCCUGGAGUGGCAUCUCGAGGGCGCGGAGCUCACCCGGCUCCGCAGGAAAGGUUGGGAACUGCCAUGUGUUCCUUAGGCGCACCAGGACAGGGCUUUCCGUCCUUCUGGGCUGAGAAGAUGUGUCUGCCUUGUUCAGCCUGGGCCGGUCCCCCUUCCCCGUGGCAGCGCAUGGCAGAGGGACCCUGCGCGGAGCCGGCGGGGCGCCGAACCGGGGGACACGGAGCUGGAGGCUCCCGGUGCCGCCUCCUGCGCUGGUCUCCCCUCCGUGCCCCGCAGGGAGCGGCACCAGGCAUCUCCCCCGCCUCUGCCCGGGCGUGGGGAGAGCGGAAAGUCCGGCACGUUGUUCUCUCUUGCUGCGCUGGUUGUUUUCUCUUGCAGCUGCUAAUGACUGACCUGAGGUCUCUUCACACACAGUCCCCUGCGCGGCGGAGCGGCGAGACGAGUCGGGGGCAUUUCACAGCACUCGCGUAGCCGCUGGCAGCAGAGCCGCCGGGGCCCUGCCGAGCUCUCCCCGGCCAGCCGGGCCGUGCCUCGCGGGAGCCAGGCGGAGGGGAGCCGCGAGCGCCGCCUCGGCCCAGGACUGCGAAGCCGCGGGAGCCGGGCGGCCCAGGCGGAGCUGCCCGCUGCGGGCCCGAGCCGCGAGCCCGGCUGCCGUGCGGGAUGGGGCCGAAGGACUGGCGGUGGCGAUAGCCGAGGACACGGGCCUGCGCGUGCGAGGUGCCGGGCGUCCUGCCUUCCCUCCCGUCGCCGCAGGUGCAGAGCCAUGGGGAAGGGGCGGGCAGCUGAGCACCGCGGGCUGCACGGGAGCUCGUCCCGUCCGCUGGCCCCCGUGGGGGGAGGAAGGGGGGGAGAGGACGGCAGCGGACUGCUGCUGCCAGGUCCUGGUGGGAGGAGGGACCCUUAGGGGCACUAAAGGCCUCUGCUCUGGCACGUGUGUUUGGAGCAAGCACUCGGUUCCUGGAGCCGCGUGGAGCACUGAGGAGCAGGGCCUGGCACGUGCCUCCCUCCCAGAGCCCCCGUGCAGGGCUUCGCGGCUGUGCUGGCCGCCGCGGCCCGGACGUGCGCGCUGUUAGCCGAUCCGACGGUUGCACUGGUGAACAGUCUGAUCCAGCAUUUUUCUCCUGAGCACAGUGAGAGCUGGGAGUGCAGCGACCUGUCGUGUGUCGGGCACUGCGGGAAGGCGGAGAGCAGACACAGGUCGUGGCAGGCAGUUUGCGGGAGUUACAGCCCUGGAGUGCCAGGAUGGAGAACCAGCCUUGUGGGGAACAGCGUGAGGCGGUGCAGGGGGAACACAGGGACAGAGACUGCCCUGGGUGCCUCUUCCCAGCCCCGCAUUGAUCUCUGGGCGUGGGGCAAACCUGCUGCUCCCUGCUGCCUAGCAGCAAAUUAGCAGUGCGCAUUCAUUAGCUGGGACUCUGUCCUCUCCGGCGAAUAUCCCCAGUGAGUGGCAGUUCGUGAUGGAGAGGGGAUAAGUUAUCAGGCACAUUUUCUCCAGAACAUGUGAUUUUCUUUGCUUGGCCUCCUCCUCUUUCCAUGGGGCAGUGGGAGCUCGGUAGAGACGCAGGGCAGAAAUCUCUGUCUCCAGGAGCCCCGCUCUUGCCGAGCUGCCCUUAGCCUGCAGCCUUUGCUCCUGGCUCUGCUAGCAUGGAUGUCACUGUGCUCUGGUCAUGUUUUCACCUAUCCCCAUCUCUGCUUCUUACAGCUCCUUUAGCGUCCCUAGCUGUGGAGCCCUGCAAAGCCGAGUCCAAGACUAGGGCACUGCCUGAACCACCGCCUCGUGCACCGGUACAGGCGGCGGGAAGCACCUGCAGUGGGGAAACACUCUGCUCAGGGUGUUUUGUGCCUUAUGAAUGCGGAUGGUAGGGGCAGAUCCCCUUCCCUGCAAAGCAUUUCGUUCCGAAAGCACACCACAUUACGUAGGUGAAGUAAUCCGCUAACACCUUCCCAAGUCUUGAUCCAGCAGCAAAGCCCCAAAAUGCCUCCUAAUACGGAUCCCUGCUGCUGCAGGGAGAGCAAAGCAGACUAAUCCCCCGGGAAGCACUUCCUCCACCGGCCGGUGGGCCUAGCCGUGACCAGCCGUGCAUGCGUGUCCCUGCUCCGUUAUUAACCCACUAACCCCGCGAGGAGCUGCGCGGAGACGCCUUCCCAGACGCUCCUGCUAGCGAUGCUGCAAUGCUGAGUAAGUCACUCGUGAAUGAACUAACCAACUAACUGGCUCUAACGCAUGCUCUACUAACCAGUCUUGUUCCACUUUCUACUAACCGGCAACAGCAAAUAAUAUCUUUAAAGGGGAACGGAAAAGCUGGGUAAGUACAUUUGCAAAGUCGUGGACGUUGCCACGUCAGUGACAGAAUCCACAGGCAGAGCCGAACGUUGCAAGCGCUCGUGCAGGCGAGGUGCGGAGCGGGGCUGCUCCGUGCACCCGCCAGCACCUGCGCACGGCGGCUGCUUUCCCCGGCCGCCGGCAGCCCCAGCGAGCCCUGGCGAGCCUCCCUCGCCCCCCGGCCCGGCCCUGCGCGGCCGGCCCCCGGGCCCCUGGAGCGGGGCAGCGGCUGCCCUGCAGGUACAUCGAGGAAGGGACGGUUUCUCCCUUGCGCUGUCACCGUGCGGUGCUGAGGCCUGUGUGUGGCUUCUGUUGCUGACUAGGUGUACUAAAAUGGUUUUAUCAGCAGAAGCUUUUCAGUUCCUUUUUAAGCCAGCAGAUCUCUCUGUUACUAACACAUUCCUGAACUGAAUUAAACUAAUCAUUGCUACUUUUCUCUUCAUUUACCUUCUAAUAUGUAUGUUCUAUAAGUAAGACAGAUUAUGCCAUGCUUCUGUUUACUAACUGCCUGUACUAAUCUUUCCUUACUUGUUUCUGUAUUGCUACUAACAAUAUUCUUUGCACUUUAACUUUCUGACACUAUUCACCAUGACAAAUGAACAAACGGCCUCCUCCUCUCCCCCGGGGACUCUCUCGGUUAUUAACCUGCAGCAGUCUGGUUUUCAGUGCUGCCGGCCAUCUCUGUCUCCUGUUAAGUACAAAGAAAAGGAGGAUGCGCAAGGUGUGUGUGUGGGAGCUUUGAAAAUCUGCCUGUUGGCCUCUUGUUUUCAGAGAAAUUUCAGGAGGCUAAACGAAGCCAAGACACUGAGUGGACGUGUGAUACUGCUGAAACCGUUAUGUUCCUUAUAACGAUUGGUAGUUGCCAUAAAGGUCCAGCAAGCCUAGUUUGCAGAGAGAUUCAGACAAAAAGCAGUGAUGUUUCUGUGAGCCCCGUCAGCAGCUGGGCUCGGGGCUCCCCGGGGCCGCAGUUCCCUGUCACUGGGAAUGGCUUUCGUGCGCCUCCCUGCACCGGCGCUCCCGGGCUCCAGGUUGGAUGCAGGGCGCUCUCAGGCUCUGCAGUUUCUUUGUCUCUCCACAGUUUAUCUGGUGACCUUGAUGCAUGUGGAAAGCCACUGCCAACAGUGUGAUCCCAACUAACCGCAAGGAGCCAAGGGCUAAGUCUAACCGUUUGGUUGGUACUUGCAGUGUUUGUUCCCGGUGCCUAACCCAGCAGAAGGGGAGGGCAGGAGUGGGAGGUGGAUGGGGACGUGCCAGCCGGAGGGCACUCUGCUAUCAACUUGUCCGAUAGAGUUAGGGUGCUGCCAAUGCCAUCCUGCUCUUGAGGCCUUGCUUUUGCUUUCUGUCAGUCUGUAAUUUAGGUUAAACUUCCACUGCAUUUACACUGAUUCUGCCGGGGCUAGAGCUUCAGGAUGUGGCCUAUCUGCAUUGUUUUAGCAUGCAAACUAGUAAUAAUACAUGGUUAAACGUCAUCAGCAUUAGGUGUUGGCUUUUAACAGCAGCCCUGCUGAGAUUACUAACAGGACAAAACUAACCCUUGCAUGCCAGGAGGAGGACGGUGGUCUGUGUUUCUAACUGCACUUGGGUCCUCAGGGCAAAGGCCUGGUUCACAAGGACGUCCAGUGCUCUUCUCUGGCCAUGUGCCAGGCGUGGGCCAGGCGUGUGCCAGGCGUGGGCCAGGCGGGCAGCUGGCUGCUGCAGAGGGGAGAGGAGGGCACACGGGCAGUGGGGAGCCGGGGGGGCUCCUCUCCGUCCGCACUGGAGGUGCAGAGCCGACAGGCAGGGCGGUUCUGCCCCGGUGGUGGUACGGAUCUGGCCUGCCUCCAGUUCCAGCUGCUCACUCUUUGUUCCCCUUUCCUUUUGCUGUGUUAACUAACCCUGUGGCGAGGACGUGCUGUCGUAACCCUGUGCCCCUGGCUGGCUUGAGUCUGACAACUAACAGCUCUUUGCUUUGUGUUGAAACACGUAGACCGAGAGGCCUCCACCGCUGCUGAUCGUGCUGCAAGUCUGCUGCCUGCUUCUGUAGCCGAAGUCCCUCUAACCUCUGGUGUGUGCUAACCCCUGCAGCCUGUUCCUCUCAGCCCGGCACUAACGGCUUGGUGGGAAGUCUUGCUGGGGCUCCUCCUUUCCGUGAACACUCAGUCCCGCACCUGGCAGUGUGAAUGUGCACCCGAAACACCAGCCAGCCCGUCAGCACCAUGGCCCGCCUGACCUCCACAUAACCCGCUGACCACUCAGCAAGGCUGGGAUCAGGAGGGGUUUUUGGGCUGAUGCUCGUCUGCUCAAUUGGAGGCGAUGUCCGCCCCUCCCCACGUCCCCGGGAGGCAGAGGCCCUGCCGCAGGCUGCGGGGCGGAGAGGUAGAUCUGGCCCCGAGGGCAGGAGUGGGGAUGAGGAAGGAGGAGGAGGAGGGAGGAGGACAAGCUGGGUCCCGCUGCGGGAGAGGUGAGUCCCCCUUCCCCAGGGCAGCCUGGUUCGGGGCCUCGGAGCCUGCGCGUUCUCCUAAGGAAACCCGCGGCCUUUGGAGACGAGCGGGGAUCCCUCCUGCCACCCCGAAUAGGGGCUGGCUUUGUCCGAGCGGAGGACAGCCCUCCUCUGCCCCGGGGUGCUCCUGCCUCCCCCCUCCAGGAAGGGCUUCCAGCCCAGCCCCUCUCCGGGAAUGACCUUGCCAAGUUCCCUGGUCACCUACCUAAGGGAGCCGUGGGACCGAGAGCCGCCCCGGGUGGCCCGAAGGCUGCCCCAGUCCUCCUACCCCGGGGGGGGGGGGGGCAGGUUGCCAGCCCCCUCCUCGGCCCUGCCCGGCACCCCGGGGCUCCCUGCCCCGGCCCCCCUCUCCCUGGCUGCUCCUCGGCUCCCUCCCUGCCUUGUCACCGCUGGCAACGCACCAUCCCCGCGGCGGGUGGGACGCGGCGCGGCCAGGUCCUGGCGUGGGGACCCCCGAGGCCACGACGUUGCUGGAGAAGGCAGGAGCCCAGCUUAGGGGACCCUUAUCCUGCUCCUGGGCGAGUCAGGGCCGUUGUGGGGCUGGCGCCUGGCCUGACCUGCCCCUCCGCUGUCCCCGCGGCGGCUGUUACCUGCUGCUGCUGGAUGGCAGCUACGGCACGCGGCCAGCCCGUCCCCUCUUUGCAGAGCCUCGCCGGUGACGUCCCGGGUGCAGCCAGCACACCGGCCAGGCCGUGCCCCGUCUGGGGCCGUGAACAGCAAAGGGGAACACGGGCGGUUUCACUGGGAUGCCGGCGUGGGGCAUUGAACACCCGCUCCGUGCCGCUUGUCCUGGAGGAGCUGCUAAAGCCCCCGGGGCAGCGGCAGGCUGUGUCCGGGGUGUCCUGCACCCCCCUGCCCCGGGAGCGGAGGUUGUCUGCACGCAGAGGACUCACCCGCACGGCCCCGGCCAGGGCCCAGAAACCGGUCUGAAGCGUAAAGCGCGUGUGCAGGAGCUGGGGGUGCGAGCGGGGCAGGUCCCCUUCACGGCCCGCGGUGGCAGCGGGGCCGGGGUGGCCCCAGCAGCAGGCGAGGGCAGGGAGCCCUGGCAGCAGCAGCGGCGUGUGCCUCUCCCGGCACGCUGCAGCCCCGGGGCCGGCCCUGGAGCCCACCGUCCUGCUCUGGGCCGGAUUUCAUUUUAAGGCACGAGAAUUUGAUCCCGUUUCUGCAUCACUUCGCUCCUGCCCGGGCUGCGAAGUGCCCGGUGUCUGGGCACGGCCGUGGGAGGGAGGGCAUCGGAGCUCCCUGGCAGGGAGGCCCGGCAGCCUGUGUCUCCUGCAGAGCCUGCUGUGGCCCCGGCCGUGUCCCUCGCCGUCCUCCACGUGCUCCGGAGCCCUCCGGAGCCAGCGCCGCGGGAGACGGGCCGCCCAGCGACCACCGCGGCUCCCGGCCGGCCCUGCCGACGGAGCCGGGCAGGGAGCGGGGCUGAGCGUGGUGCUGGCGCUGCGGAGAGGGGGCCCGGGGGCUGCCGGCGACGUCCCUUCUGCCUGUAACCUCUGCUGUGAACACGGCGAGUCUGCAAACGCC